rnacentral:pre_miRNA from 1 species
AUAACAUCUGAACCGUCGGUCUACCGAGCAAUAUCACUCGCUCAGUGGAACAUCUUCAUUUUGUCGU